UAGUAGUUUCAAAGGUCUUCAAAAUCUUUUCUAAAUCUUCCUUUUUUUUUUCUUUUCCUUUUUCAAUUCCUCCUUUUAGUCUCAUUUUAAUCUUUCACAGUAUUCUGUUAUCUAAUUAACACCUCAGCAUUACAAUACUAUUUUCCAUAAAUUUCUGUGUUAAAAAUCUAGGGAAUCCUAAAAAAUGGGGUCAGGGGGAGAAUGGGUGCUGAUCUCCCUGGAGUCUAAGGCCUGGAGAAAACCAAGAAGCCCGUAACUAUUCCUUUUGCAGGAACAGAUGUUGUCCCUCCCGGAGGAGUUAUUAUGGGUUGGAAGAAAUGAGAUAAUAAAAAUAAACAAGCAAUACUGUGAAUGUUAUCAAACAUCAUCAGCACCAGCCAGAUAGAUCCCUAAAUAAGUAUUCUUUACCAAUAAAAGCAAAAGCAGAUGAACAUGACAGUUUUCUAAAUGUAUUCAGAAAAAGGAACAAUUUGAGCAAAAUAGCCAACCUAACUGGGCUACACAUGAGCCACUCCUUGGGAAGGUGGAAACUGUUGUUGGUUCAGCCUCCCUGGCCAUCCGCAGUCAACCCUGCCCCAGAGCCUUUGCCGCCUUCUUAAACAGACAGCCUUCUUCCUUUCCAGGUCACGUGGCAAUCUACUGCCCCUUAGGAUAUUUAUGGGAUCUGUUUUAUGGGUGAAAAGCCAACCAAAGAUAGGACAAGGGGAAGAGCCAGAAUCCUCCCCUGCUUAGCUGUCUGCCAGAUCCUGGGGUUUCCAAUCAGUUAGCCCCGGGCCUCCUUGCCGUUCUAGGAAAAUCAAUCUGUGGCAAAAUUUGAGGAAAGGAAGGGUACCAGCAGAUAAUGAUUACAAAGAUUCUCUACUUCCACCUCCAGGAAAAUAGAUACAUAUUUAAGAGAAAAAGACACUGGCUUGAAGUAACUUAGCUGUUACCAUAGAGAACAAGAAAAUAAAAAAUUUCACAUUAUGUGAAAGGAAAGUCAAGCGUGAUAAUUAUUCAGAAUAAACCACUCAAAAGGCUCUUCAGUAGAAUAAAGAAGAACCGUUGUCCCAAAGGAAGCUACUGUUUUGACAUUUAACUGGGAAGAGAUCCAAAAAUUGAGACUAGGAGUAUAGCCCUUGCUUUUCUUUUGGAAGACUUCAUGUGAUAAUUCAGAGAAGCUGAUGUUUGUAAUUCUAGUUACCUUCAAAUGAUAAUAAAAUCAAACAAAACCAAUGGAUGCAUGUGUAUAGGAGAUUGACACUGAAAUAAUUUCUAUCUUUUUAAUAAAUGACUUGAUACAUUU